AACUCUGGUAUUGAUUGGUGCUUGCAUCAUGAUUUACAUUUGAGUGAGUGGCGAACUGGUGAGUAACACGUGGGAAACCUGCCCAGAAGCGGGGGAUAACACCUGGAAACAGAUGCUAAUACCGCAUAACAACUUGGACCGCAUGGUCCGAGUUUGAAAGAUGGCUUCGGCUAUCACUUUUGGAUGGUCCCGCGGCGUAUUAGCUAGAUGGUGGGGUAACGGCUCACCAUGGCAAUGAUACGUAGCCGACCUGAGAGGGUAAUCGGCCACAUUGGGACUGAGACACGGCCCAAACUCCUACGGGAGGCAGCAGUAGGGAAUCUUCCACAAUGGACGAAAGUCUGAUGGAGCAACGCCGCGUGAGUGAAGAAGGGUUUCGGCUCGUAAAACUCUGUUGUUAAAGAAGAACAUAUCUGAGAGUAACUGUUCAGGUAUUGACGGUAUUUAACCAGAAAGCCACGGCUAACUACGUGCCAGCAGCCGCGGUAAUACGUAGGUGGCAAGCGUUGUCCGGAUUUAUUGGGCGUAAAGCGAGCGCAGGCGGUUUUUUAAGUCUGAUGUGAAAGCCUUCGGCUCAACCGAAGAAGUGCAUCGGAAACUGGGAAACUUGAGUGCAGAAGAGGACAGUGGAACUCCAUGUGUAGCGGUGAAAUGCGUAGAUAUAUGGAAGAACACCAGUGGCGAAGGCGGCUGUCUGGUCUGUAACUGACGCUGAGGCUCGAAAGUAUGGGUAGCAAACAGGAUUAGAUACCCUGGUAGUCCAUACCGUAAACGAUGAAUGCUAAGUGUUGGAGGGUUUCCGCCCUUCAGUGCUGCAGCUAACGCAUUAAGCAUUCCGCCUGGGGAGUACGGCCGCAAGGCUGAAACUCAAAGGAAUUGACGGGGGCCCGCACAAGCGGUGGAGCAUGUGGUUUAAUUCGAAGCUACGCGAAGAACCUUACCAGGUCUUGACAUACUAUGCAAAUCUAAGAGAUUAGACGUUCCCUUCGGGGACAUGGAUACAGGUGGUGCAUGGUUGUCGUCAGCUCGUGUCGUGAGAUGUUGGGUUAAGUCCCGCAACGAGCGCAACCCUUAUUAUCAGUUGCCAGCAUUAAGUUGGGCACUCUGGUGAGACUGCCGGUGACAAACCGGAGGAAGGUGGGGAUGACGUCAAAUCAUCAUGCCCCUUAUGACCUGGGCUACACACGUGCUACAAUGGAUGGUACAACGAGUUGCGAACUCGCGAGAGUAAGCUAAUCUCUUAAAGCCAUUCUCAGUUCGGAUUGUAGGCUGCAACUCGCCUACAUGAAGUCGGAAUCGCUAGUAAUCGCGGAUCAGCAUGCCGCGGUGAAUACGUUCCCGGGCCUUGUACACACCGCCCGUCACACCAUGAGAGUU
rnacentral:rRNA from 4 species